GUGGGGCAGGUACAAGAUAGAAGGAGGCCUGUCAUUGGAUGAGAAGGAAAGAUGGGUGUCUAUCAUUGGAUGAGAAGGAAAGAUGGGCGGGAGAGAAGUUUGAAGGAAGAGGAGGAGACUGGAACGAAGAGAGGAGGAGGGAGGCCGAGAAGCCGUGGCAGGACAAUGGAGGAUGACGUAAAGAUCUCGCUCUGUGUAUUUACCGAUCUUUCCGUUCAAAUGUUCAUUACGGUGAGCCUGGUUGGUGGCCUCUGGCUUCCGUUUCACUGACUCGGACCACGUGGAGCACUGCUGCUUGACAAAGACCCAGCAGAUGGACGUCAAGGACUACAGCUCUCCAGCACCAUUUUACUUCUGCCUGACAAUCCUCACUCUGCGCUAUGAGAGAGAUAGACGCCUUAUGCUUUUCCUUUGGGGGUUUUCUAUGGGCUUUGGUGGAGCAUGUGUUCACAUACAGCGGCAGUCUCUCUAAACAAGAUAAUUCUUUAGAAAAGAUCCCCACCAUCCUGGAACCAUACAGAAUGAUGACUCUGCCUCUCCCCAUAGUGCCCCCCCUGUUUGCACCAAAAACAGAGAAGUUAAAGAUUUAUUAACGGAGAGAUGCUGCCAGAAACUCUCGGGUACACCUAGUCCCAAGGACGAAAGCACAAACCAGAGAAACAAUGGACCAAGUCUGAGGACCUGGCAGUUGAGGACAAGGGAUCAGUUAAUAAGUACAGAACAGUGCUCACAGUUGAUUCCCUGGGUACGAGACUUACAGGAUGAAUGGCACGGUCUGAUCUGUCCCACAAGGAGCAGGUCCUGUUAAGUUAUAUUGACUUGAUCCCCCUCUGCCAUACACAGGAGCAUACUCUGAAGGAAUCAGGAUGGCUCGGCAUACUGGAAAAAGAGUAAGAUGUCAGGACCUCCCUUUGGGGAGUGCGUGAGGAGAACGGGCCAUAUUGUCAGACCAAGGCACAUAGGAGCCCAACUAGGAAACAGCUCAGUGCUAUUGUGCUGCACGGUGCAAACCUGCAUGGCGCCCUGAGGAGUGGAAAUUGCUCGGAUGAGUUUGUUUCUCAGAACUCAAUGCCUGGUUCUCCUGACCACAGAGGCUGAGACCACGCAGGGGAACAUGUAAACGGGUACCUGGUGAGGUCCUGGACCUCAGAGAACAAAAGGGACUUAGAUGUUUGCUGAACUUCCUGUUUUUGCUUCAGAGAUAAACACUGUAAUCGAG